UAGAGUUUGAUCAUGGCUCAGAUUGAACGCUGGCGGCAUGCUUUACACAUGCAAGUCGAGCGGCAGCGCGGGGGCAACCCUGGCGGCGAGCGGCGAACGGGUGAGUAAUACAUCGGAACGUGUCCCGUAGUGGGGGAUAGCUCGGCGAAAGCCGGAUUAAUACCGCAUACGAUCUACGGAUGAAAGCGGGGGACCGCAAGGCCUCGCGCUAUGGGGGCGGCCGAUGUCCGAUUAGCUAGUUGGUGGGGUAAAGGCCUACCAAGGCGACGAUCGGUAGCUGGUCUGAGAGGAUGAUCAGCCACACUGGGACUGAGACACGGCCCAGACCCCUACGGGAGGCAGCAGUGGGGAAUUUUGGACAAUGGGGGAAACCCUGAUCCAGCCAUGCCGCGUGAGUGAAGAAGGCCUUCGGGUUGUAAAGCUCUUUUGGCCGGAAAGAAAAGGCUACGGAUAACACCCGUGGUCCUUGACGGUACCGGCAGAAUAAGCACCGGCUAACUACGUGCCAGCAGCCGCGGUAAUACGUAGGGUGCGAGCGUUAAUCGGAAUUACUGGGCGUAAAGCGUGCGUAGGCGGUCCCGCAAGUCCGCUGUGAAAGCCCCGAGCUUAACUUGGGAACUGCAGUGGAAACUAUGGGACUUGAAUCCGGCAGAGGGGGGUGGAAUGCCACGUGUAGCAGUGAAAUGCGUAGAGAUGUGGCGGAACACCGAUGGCGAAGGCAGCCCCCUGGGCUGAGAUUGACGCUCAGGCACGAAAGCGUGGGGAGCAAACAGGAUU
rnacentral:rRNA from 1 species